GAUGAACGCUGGCGGCGUGCCUAAUACAUGCAAGUCGAGCGAACGGUCGAGGGGCUUUCUUCUCUGAUAUUAUCGCCGGACGGGUGAGUAACACGUGUAUAACCUACCUCUCAGACUGGGAUACCUUCGGGGAACAGUAUCUAAUACCGGAUAAUAUUUUACACCUCAUGGUUCAAAAGUUAAAGACGGUCUUACUGUCACUUAUAGAUGGAUCCGCGCUGCAUUAGCUAGUUGUUAAGGUAACGGCUUACCAAGACAACGAUGCAUAGCCGACCUGAGAGGGUGAUCGGCCACACUGGAACUGAGACACGGUCCAGACUCCUACGGGAGGAAGCAGUAGGGAAUCUUCCGCAAUGGGCGAAAGCCUGACGGAGCAACGCCGCGUGAGUGAUGAAGGUCUUCGGAUCGUAAAACUCUGUUAGUAGGGAAGAACAUAUGUGUAAGUAACUGUGCACAUCUUGACGGUACCUAAUCAGAAAGCCACGGCUAACUACGUG
rnacentral:rRNA from 1 species